AUGACUCUUACAGUCUCGAUCCACUUGAAAAGGUUUUCUAUUAAAUCCACUAACAAGAAAAUUAUAGACAUUGCUAUCAAGUCAAUAUCCUCGUGGCCACUAGACCUCGUGAAAAUUCUAGGUCCAUUUUGAAUUGCAAAAGUUGGAAACUUCACACUUCUUUGUUCUAUCUUUUCUUAGUGGUGUAAUGUGGAGAUUCUGCACAAAUAGACCGACCAUACCUG
rnacentral:lncRNA from 1 species